AUGCUUGAUUUUUACCUGAUGUCCCUUAGCGUAAGGACAAUACAGGUCUGCCGUGCCUACUAACCAUGUCUUUAAUGCCAAGGUAGAUUCCAAUGAAGUCUGCAAAAGGGGUAUUUUUAGUGUAGGAAACCGCUAUUAUGUAAUUAAAAAGGAAGGUUGACCAUCAUGCCUACAAUUCCCCUAUGGUUGGAAGCUUCCAAAUCCAUCUUUCAGCGACUU
rnacentral:lncRNA from 1 species